CCAGCAUGGACCAGAACUCCUUAUAAAAUUCAGUUGGGAAUCUAUCUAGCCCUGGAGCUUUUUUAUUUGGCAUGUCUUGCAGAGCUUCAAGGGCUCAUAUCAUGCAAAAUCCACUUUUUAGACAUUUUGGAGCGUUCCUAUGACUCUAUGGGUCACAUAUACACACACUGAGCGCGGUAGAAAUGCAUUUCCUGCUUUUUUCACAUUUUGAAAACGUAAAUUUUCUCACCCAAUGAAAACAGCCACGACCUACUCUGAGGCCGUGUCCCAGUUGUCGUCACCUUGGUCGGAAGUUCUCCCUGCAAAUCCUGAACCACCACCUCCACAAUGAUCCCGAACCAAAACUGGACUUCCGCCAUUUCCCCCCUCUCACUCACCGUGAACAGACCAGCACGGCAGCGUUCAAGUCCUCCCAUAGAAAUAGUUCGGUUCUUGGGUGUUCUAACCAACACCAAAGUCUAUUCACUUUAACAAGGGAUCAACAAGUGAGGAUUUGUGGGUCACUUAUUUUUAACGGACCGGUGCCAGAAACACUGCCUCAGCAUUUAUACGUAUGUGCAUUUCAAACGAGGGUGCGUACAAUGCUGGAUUUGUUUAACGGCUCCUGUUGGAAAAAAAGGAUAUAUUCCUACAGUCCGUCAUCCACUCACUGAAGGAGCCACAUCCCAGUUACCUACAUGCAAGGAGGCUGUCAAACAGAGAAAUCACUGCAGACUGUUGGUACACGGACAUCUGCUGCCCAGCUCAGGAGUAAAGUACCUUUUUGUUUUGAUGAGGUGAUGGUGAGGACAGCCACAGCUUCCAUCUGGUAGAGGACUGCUUCCGCUCAGUCUUCCAAAUAGUGAUGAGAACAAGGAUCACCACAUCUCCCUGUUUACCCUACUUUCAUGCAUUUCGUCUGCAGGGCCCUGCAAAGGUUUCUGUUCCAAACUCCCAGACUUCUUAAUUAACUCAGUAACCUAUACAUUGCACAUUGGAGUGUGAAGGUAACAGUUUGUUCUAGCUUUGGAGUAGUGGUGCAUUUUUUUGGUUUACAAUAAAGUUGGCUUUAACUAUUA